rnacentral:rRNA from 1 species
AACGUAGGUGGCAAGCGUUAUCCGGAUUUACUGGGCGUAAAGCGUGUGCAGGCGGGGGUACAAGUGGUGUAUGAAAUUUCCCAGCUUAACUGGGAAGGGUUAUGCCAGACUGUACUUCUGGAGUGCGAGAGAGGGGCGUGGAAUUCCGGGUGUAGUGGUGAAAUGCGUAGAGAUCCGGAGGAACCCCAGAGGCGAAGGCGGCGACCUGGACAAGUACUGACACUCAACUACGAAAGCGUGGGGAGCAAACAGG